AGUGAUUCUCCUAACUCAGCCUCCUGAGUAGCUGAGACCACAGCCUACUUUCAAAGCCAUCGCCUAUAAUCCUUUUUCAGAUCAUAACCACUCUGCUUUCAAAACCAGAGGCACUCUCCAUUCCCGAUUGUUCCAAGGCUCAAGUGCUCAGAAAUGACUGGGAAGAAGGGAGAAAAACUCAGGUGGCAAAGGACAUGGACAAAAACCCAUGGUGACAUGGAAAGAAAACCCUGUGAUAUAUAGAGGAAGAGCACAAGAGAGGAGUUGGGGAGAAUGGAACUCCUCUGUGUCCUGAUUGUGGUGAUGGCCACGCAUGGCCGUAAAUGGGUUGAAAUGGACAGAAGGUGGAGACUUGCUCUGUCACCCAGGCUGCAACCUCUGCCU